rnacentral:rRNA from 1 species
UAGUGGCGCAUGGCCGUUCUUAGUUGGUGGAGUGAUUUGUCUGGUUAAUUCCGAUAACGAACGAGACCUCAGCCGUCUAACUAGCCGUCGCCAGCGAGCUGGCGCUUGUUCCAAGCUCGGCUUCUUAGAGGGACAAUCUGCGCGCAGCAGAGGGAAGUGUGAGGCUAUAACAGGUCAGUGAUGCCCUUAGAAGGUCUGGGCUGCACGCGCGCUACAAUGGCCCGGCCAGCGGGCCCCCGAGCCUGAGAAGGCGAGGAAAGCUCUAAGCCGGGUCCAAGUUGGGAUAGAUGAUUGCAAUUGU